GACGAACGCUGGCGGCGUGCUUAACACAUGCAAGUCGAGCGGUAAGGCCCUUUCGGGGGUACACGAGCGGCGAACGGGUGAGUAACACGUGGGUGACCUGCCCUCCACUCUGGGAUAAGCACGGGAAACUGGGUCUAAUACCGGAUAGGACACAUGAUUGCAUGGGUGUGGGUGGAAAGUUUUUUGGGUGGGGGAUGGGCCCGGGUCCUAUCAGCUUCUUGGUGGGGUAAUGGCCGACGAAUGCGGGGACGGGUAGGCGGCCUGAGAGGGCGACCGGCCACGCUGGGACUGAGACGCGGCCCAGACUCCGACGGGGGGCAGCAGUGGGGGAUAUUGCGCAAUGGGCGGAAGCCUGACGCAGCGACGGCGCGUGGGGGAUGACGGCCUUCGGGUUGUAAGCCUCUUUCGCCAGGGACGAAGCUUUUGUGACGGUACCUGGAGAAGAAGCAACGGCCAACUACGUGCCAGCAGCCGCGGUAA
rnacentral:rRNA from 1 species